UACAGGGGGUGCAAACGUUGCUCGGAAUUAUUGGGCGUAAAGCGCGCGUAGGCGGCUACUUAAGUCAGAUGUGAAAGCCCUUGGCUCAACUGAGGAAGUGCACCCGAAACUGAGUGGCUAGAGUACGGUAGAGGAGAGUGGAAUUCCCGGGUGUAGCAGUGAAAUGCGUAGAGAUCGGGAGGAACAUCAGUUGCGAAGGCGGCUCUCUGGACCAGUACUGGACGCUGAGGCGCGAAAGCUAGGGGAGCAAACAGG
rnacentral:rRNA from 1 species